AGGAGUAGAAGGGGACAGUGAGGGAUAAGUGCUGGGGUGGAGCGGCAGCACCGCACCGAGCCUCCCCCUGGGCUGUGGGGACAGGCGCUUCCCUGUGCUCUCCGCCCUUUGUCUGAUGUGAGUUGCUGUCGCACAUGAGCGGUGACUGAAACCUCAGCAGGCGCCGCCUAUCAGCACAUCUGUUGGGGCAACUGAAUUUAUGGGAAGGCUUAUUGCCUCAGAAAACAGGAUCCAUACUGGAUUUCCGCCUGGUGAUAUACACAAGAAAUAUUUGUGUCAGGGAAAUCGGCAGGCAAAAGACUAACAACACUUUAGGCGCUUUAGAAGUUCGCACAGGGCCCCGUGGGGGCACACGUCCUCCUUGGAAGCCCCUACUUCCUGGCAGGACCAGAGAUCCGUGAACGCUCCUCAUUCUAUAGAGUGUCAGUCCGUACAUGGGCAGAGAAACCCACAUAUGGUCAGGGGUGAAAGGAACUGACUGAGUAUUAACUGCAGAGAGGAAGGGUACUGUGAUGCGAAAGGGAAAAGCUGCUGAACCUGAGAUCCUGGUUUGAGAAGGUGGUGGAUCAGAGCUGACACCAGAGCUGGCCCAGGCUCCCAGGCCCUCGUCGAAGCUAGAAGUCCACUCUGAUUAAAAAAACUGAGGCUAGCCCGGUGGCUCCUGGGCAGCUUGUGCCCCAGUGAGUUCCACUCCAUGACACUCUCCUAGGAGGCACAGGGAGAACUUCGUGGACGCAGGGUAAGACCUGUGAUCACCUCUGGCAUGGCAAGCUCCUCAUGUCACUGGCCUGGGGUCCCAAAAGAACAAUAUCCCUCUGCCCCCUACUGCACUCUGGUGCCCCUCUAUUUCUUUUAUUGCCUAUGAACUCUUCCUUAGAAAAGGGACUAACAAACCACACAGGCUGGGGCAAGUGGCACCCCUAGCUCACCCCCUUCCCACUCAAGGUCUUGUUUGAUCAUGAACAUCUAAGUGCUUCGUGUUGUAUCUCAGGGAGGACAAUGGGUCAAAUGCUAAAAUAUUUGCUGAAGUCCAAAGAUUAAUCCUAUUUGAAGCCCUGAGUCACUUGGGGCCCCUGCAGAUAAAUUCUGUUUGCAGUGUGGCUUCCUAUUCAACACCUGUGUAAACCCCGAAUAGGGGAGUAAUUCAGAGAAACCACGUUACCACUGAAUCCUACGAAGGGCUGAGUGGGGACCUACCACAUGCAGGGGAAGGUAUCAAAGAACCUGCUCUUGGUCUUGGAGGAGGAAAUGGCCCUGGAGACAUGGAAAGAACAGAUGCCUCAGGCUUCGGGGCCUGGGCCAAGUGGGGAGUGAGAAGGGGCUCUGUCCCAUCAGACGUUCACGGGGCAUCCUCUGGGGCAGGAGCGGCACCUGGAGGCCCAGCAGAAGCUGAUGUUGCUCACCUCACCCAGGCCAGCUCCCCAGAUGGUCAGAGAUAACUCUUCAAACUCCAACAACCACGACAACUGAGCCACACUAACCAUCCUCAUAUUGGAGAUUGAAUAUCCCAUUUCUCAGAGAAAUGCAACGGUGCCUAUCACGUCGGCUUUGGAAUCAGACAGGCUGCGUUUGACAACAGCUGCAUGUUAUUAGCUAGAAGACUGAGCAAGAGGACUUCUAAAUCAGCCUCUAACUCAGAGAUGAUUUGUAUGCAUAAGGAAAAGAAUGAUAAUAAAGAGAGAGUAGAGCCAGAACAGAGAACGAGUCUGAGGAAUUAGAAAAGUCUGUUUUCGAAAUGUGAAGUUUGGAGUGAUGUCAUAACUUCCAAGUGAAAACGUCCGGAAGGCAUUCAAAGAUUUGGCAUUGUUGCUCAGGAGGAAGGACAGAAGACGGCAUGUGAAGGGCAAAUCAAGGGUUAAGGACUGAUUUUAGGGAAAAUUUGCAUAUGGAAGGAGGAGAAAGAGCCAGUGACAGGGAAAAAAGGAUGGCAAAGGAAUGACAGGAGGAAAUUAAAAGCAGGAGCCAGUGAAAAGGAAGGCAGUGAGUGCCAAGAGGCAGUGGAGACCAUGGACAAAAAGGCCAUGCCCUAGUCAGUAAAAUCUCUAGGCUUUUCCAGGGUGUCGUUUGGUAGAUGGAAGGUGGAGGUCCCAUUGCAAGGGGUAAGGCUCAGGAGGGAGAGGCUCUGGACCUGUAAGACGAGAUCCCCAGCUGCAGAAUCCCUGUCCCUGCCUCCCCUUAGAGCUCUCCCAGCAUUCUCACCUUGGGGACUGGUGGGGUUGGUGCCUUGUAUCCACACUGUUGUAGGUACUAGCAAUAGACUCUUUUAUACUUAUAGAGUGGGUUUGUGAUUUUUAAAGAUUUUUCCUAAAAUUCAAUUGCUCAUACAGGUAAGGGAGAAAAUAGAUUUUUUUUAAAAGAGAGACUUCCAGCUCCCUCCCUUUUUCAUUCCCUGCUAGUAUGAUGGAUGGACGGCGCAGACUGAAGAAGGGAAGAUCAGAGGUACUUUCCAUGAGAAUGAAAUUACGCUUCUAUUCUGAGGUCAAAUUAAGAAAUCCCACACAUUUUACAAUCUGCAAUGCAGUUUUUAUAGGAUAAUUUGGGGGCUGGGGAGCUAAAUUAUCUUUUUAGAUCCUGACAUUCUGAGUGGCAGGCAGGAGGGUUAAUUCUUGCUCUAUUUUACAGAACUGAAAACUGAGGCUUGGUAAUGAAGUCUCCGGCCCAGGUUGACCCAGAAAAUAGGUGGCAGAGCAGAGACCAGAGCCCAGCUCUUUAAUUCUGGUGUCUUUCCUAAUUAACCCACUGAAAUGGAAACCAGUGAGACUGAGAAGACAGAAGCGUAGCCGGCUCUUCCCAAACAAAUUUAUGGCGUGCGGCAUGUGUCACUAGCUAACAUCCAUGCUGCUCUACAUCAUUCAUUGUUGGCUGGGUUGUCUUUGACACCCCCAUUCCUCCCCAGCAGUGACCACAACUACCCUUGGGACCAUACCAAUCAAGUAGUCUCAACUUCAAGAAGGAGAGAAACAGUUUCAAAUCCACUAAACAAUCGGUGAGUGCCAUUUAUGAAUCCAAAAACUAUUCACUUUCACACCUAUUAGGCUGGCUGUUAUCAAAAAAGAAGAAAAGAAAAUAACAAGAGUUGGCGAGGA